AACCUGUGGGAAGCUGAUAGGUAUUCCACCUCUGAAGGCUUUAGGAGGUUUCCACAGGACCUUAUUACUCCUGAACAACAGUUCUUCUCUUCGUUCAUUCUUCCAAGAAACAACUUGACCACCCAGAAAAAGCACCUGCAGCAGAGAAUAUGUACUAGAAUUAGAUAACAUGAAAGAAAAAAAGAUAAAAGUCCCAGUAAAACAGAACCUUUUAUUAUUUUCCGACCCAUAAAACUCAGCAUCAUUGUAGUCCCACAACCAAUUUGUGAUAUUUGACCUGGCCAUAAAGCCAUGUAUACUUCAUGCAUUUGGAUCUUUCCAUUUAGGGGAGGAUCCUCCAUAUGCCAAUUUAAGAAGGAAGCACGUCAUCUCUCUAAGUUAAAUGGACAGUGGAGAGCUUUUCAUUGGUACAAUGGAGAUCCCAGGUUAUUGCCACUUCAUUAUUUCCCCAAAAGCAUUCAGAGCCAGUAAGCCACAGAGUUUUGACUAGAUAAUGCCGACCCCCUAAACACUAAAGUUCACUCUCUAAACACUAAAGUUCAAAACAAGACCAUAUAUAAGAAAGACUAAGCCAUUAGCAAGACAACAAAAAAAUCAAGAGUAACGAGAAAGGCCCAAGGUAUAAUCAAUCAUUGGGAUAAAAAUUAAUAGGAAUGACAACAAGAAAAGCUAAGGAAAAUAUUUCCUAUCUGAUCUGUUACCUUCUGUUAACUAUUUAAGCUUCUCAUAAGCAAGCACCGUGCAUUUACAGAAUCUCUUCAAUGGAAGGAGUCCACCUCUUAAAUUAACUACUCUAUUUAUUAGUAAUAUUCUAAUCAAGAGGUUGCUCACCAUCCAAGCUAGGAGUAUGUAGUUUUUGGGAACUACUGGAUAAAUUGUUGGAGAUGGGAAAAAUAAAGCCAUAAUUCAGCAAUGAGGUCAUAUUUAGUUUUGAAAGACAGCAUUCCACAUACCAAAAUAAAACUAAUUAACAAACUACAAAUGAAAAUAAAAUAAAAAAUGCAAAUGCAGAGAUGAAGUUCAGAAGUCACUAAGAUCAAAUUUAGGAUUACUGAGUUAUGGGGAAACAAAAACACUUUCACCAACAGGCUUCAGCUAAAGGUAAAGAGAUAUUAAACCAAAUAUCUUCAAUAAAAAGAAAUGUGAUAAACCGUGGUAUCUAGACCAGCUUGCCACCGGAUACCUGCUACCUCCCACCUCCCACCUCCCACCUGCAACAACAGUUACAAGAUAACUAUAUCCACCAAAUCUAUCUGAAGAAAUCAUCUAAUGUUUUUGUCCCUGCUGGGAUGAUCAGUAUUCAGUGAAUUAUUCUAGCAUUCUCGUCAAGCUUUAGAAAUGUACAAAUCCAUGAAUCUCAGGAACUAAAAAAAAGAGCAUGUACAGAACCGAAAAACGGAACUUAAAUCAUAAUUAUGCAGCACAAACAGUCAUAAUUUUGGGAGAACACAGUUAAAGCCCUUCAUAAACUAAACACAAAACAAAAUAUAUCACAAUUAUCAACACA